GCCACAUGCGGUUUCGUCACUUGUCAAAGUGGCAGCGUGGAACCAAGGUCUACAGUGGCUGCUGAGGUCAGACUUGAAGAAAUGACUCACAUGCAAGGCUGAUCUACAUAAGUAGCCUGUGCUAAGACUGCCAUCUGGUAGAACAAUCUACAUCACACGACUCCACGUUUCCUGUUACCCAAGCAUCUCCAUGCUCUGCAGGUGCAGCUUCGAUGGACCAUGGCCAUAUUGCCCCACUACUAUCAAUCACACUGAGAUGUAGUCCACAGCAUUCAACAAGCCACCACUCAUGGGAUAGAGGAUAGGCAAAAGGAACAACUAAGACAGUAGAGGAGCCCAGCACUCCGAACCCCUAAUCAUGCCUUCGGUGGAUUCCUUUGGUAAAGUUUUCCUUUGUGGGUUUCUUUCAGCACUUGACCCAUAGCCCAUGGAAUGUGUCAGCUCUAAUUGCCUGUGUGGAUUGGCACAAGUCGUGCCUCAAAAUUGGAAUGUUGUCACAUAUAACAUAGCCUUUCAGAGGGAUAAAUGUGGAAAAUGUUUUACCCAUGAAUUCCUUAGAAGCAAUUGUGCUCUAUCACGUGAAAGGCUGAAGACCUGGACAGAACCUAAUGACUAUAUCCCCAAGAUCCCCAAGGUUCAGUGGCUUUCAGGAUGUUGCUCUCCCUGACUCCAUGGACAUCACAGAAUGACAGUUGUCCACUG
rnacentral:lncRNA from 1 species